GAGUUUGAUCCUGGCUCAGGAUGAGCGCUAGCGAGAGGCUUAACACAUGCAAGUCGAGGGGCAUCGAGGGAAAAGCUUGCUUUUUCUGUCGGCGACCGGCGCACGGGUGCGUAACGCGUAUACAAUCUACCCUACACUGGGGCAUAGCCCGAAGAAAUUUGGAUUAAUACCCCAUAGUAUUGGGAAGUCGCAUGGCUUUCCACUUAAAGUUCCGGCGGUGUAGGAUGAGUAUGCGUGAUAUUAGCUAGUUGGUGAGGUAAUGGCUCACCAAGGCGACGAUAUCUAGGGGUUCUGAGAGGAAGAUCCCCCACACUGGUACUGAGACACGGACCAGACUCCUACGGGAGGCAGCAGUGAGGAAUAUUGGUCAAUGGGCGCAAGCCUGAACCAGCCAUUUCGCGUGUAGGAAGACUGCCCUAUGGGUUGUAAACUACUUUUGUAUAGGAAGAAACCUGGAUACGAGUAUCAGCUGACGGUACUAUAAGAAUAAGGAUCGGCUAACUCCGUGCCAGCAGCCGCGGUAAUACGGAGGAUCCAAGCGUUAUCCGGAUUUAUUGGGUUUAAAGGGUGCGUAGGUGGUCUUAUAAGUCAGGAGUGAAAUCUUGCCGCUUAACGGUAAAACUGCUUUUGAAACUGUAGGACUUGAAUAUGGGAGCGGCAGGCGGAAUGAGUAAUGUAGCGGUGAAAUGCAUAGAUAUUACUCAGAACACCGAUUGCGAAGGCAGCUUGCUAUACCAUUAUUGACACUGAUGCACGAAAGCGUGGGUAUCGAACAGGAUUAGAUACCCUGGUAGUCCACGCUGUAAACGAUGUUCACUCGCUGUUUGCGAUAUACUGCAAGUGGCCAAGCGAAAGCAUUAAGUGAACCACCUGGGGAGUACGUUGGCAACAAUGAAACUCAAAGGAAUUGACGGGGACCCGCACAAGCGGAGGAACAUGUGGUUUAAUUCGAUGAUACGCGAGGAGCCUUACCUGGACUNAAAUGUAGAUUGCAUAGAGUGGAGACAUUCUUUUCUUCGGACUAUCUACAAGGUGCUGCAUGGUUGUCGUCAGCUCGUGCCGUGAGGUGUCAGGUUAAGUCCCAUAACGAGCGCAACCCCUAUCGUUAGUUACCAUCAGGUUAAGCUGGGGACUCUAACGAAACUGCCUGUGCAAACAGAGAGGAAGGUGGGGAUGACGUCAAAUCAGCACGGCCCUUACGUCCAGGGCUACACACGUGUUACAAUGGCACAUACAGAGGGCAGCUACACGGCGACGUGAUGCGAAUCUCGAAAGUGUGUCUCAGUUCGGAUAGGAGUCUGCAACCCGACUCCUUGAAGUUGGAUUCGCUAGUAAUCGCGCAUCAGCCAUGGCGCGGUGAAUACGUUCCCGGGUCUUGUACACACCGCCCGUCAAGCCAUGGAAGCCGAGGGGACCUGAAGUCCGUAACCGAAAGGAGCGGCCUAGGGUAAAAUUGGUAACUGGGGCUAAGUCGUAACAAGGUAACCGUA
rnacentral:rRNA from 1 species